rnacentral:rRNA from 1 species
CCCAGUGAACAAUUAAACGGCCGCGGUACCCUAACCGUGCAAAGGUAGCAUAAUCAUUUGUCUACUAAUUAUAGACCUGUAUGAAAGGCAAAAUGAGGGCCUAACUGUCUCUUAUAGCGAAUCAAUUAAACUGAUCUCCUAGUAAAAAAGCUAGAAUUUCUCCAUAAGACCAGAAGACCCUGUGAAGCUUAAACUAAACUAUUAAAUCACAUAAUAACUACUUUCGGUUGGGGCGACCUUGGAAAAAAAAAGAACUUCCAACAACCAUGACUAUUCAUCAACCACCCUAGGCCUACAAGCCAAUUAACGACCCAGCACAGCUGAUCAAUGAACCAAGUUACUCCAGGGAUAACAGCGCAAUCCUCUUCAAGAGCCCAUAUCAAAAAGAGGGUUUACGACCUCGAUGUUGGAUCAGGACAUCCUAA